AUGGUUUCCAGGCCUGCAGGGGAAGCAGAGGUGACAGAUUUUGAGUUUGGAAGAACUUCGGGGCAGUGGGGCCAAACUCCAGACCACCAGGGAAUUGUGGGAAACAGAGCCACACUGCAGCAGAGCAGGGGAUCGUGGAUAAUGAAGUCAGGCUUCAUUCAGCUCUACAGAAGUUGCAGGCUCCUAGCUUACAGAGCUUCCUGCAGCAGCAGGCUCAGCUGGAGCUCCUGGCCAGACGAGUCACCCUGCUGGAAGCCAUCAUCUGGCCAGAACCAGAGGGGUCGGGGGCAGGCCCUGCCGGCACGGGCACUCCCAGCCUCCUGCGGGGCAAGAGGGGAGGACACGCGGCCAACUACCGGAUCGUGGCCCCCAGGAGCCGCAACGAGAGAGGCUGAGGGCGGGGGCGGCCCUAGGGGCAGACCAGGCCAGGCUUCCCUUCCCAGCCUGGAUUUGGCCAACUGCCUCCAGGGACCGCCCAUCCGUAUUUAUUAAUGUCCUCAGGGUCCCUUCUGCCCCUAGGCCUUUGGGAUGGGCAAGUCUUGGUCCUGACUCCCCCUGUAAGCCGAAUAGGAAACUGAGAAAGCACAGUGGCCUGAGAGGGAGGGGCAGCCCAGGCAAGAGGUGAGGCCUUGCUCAGGGCCCUGGGCCUCCACCUCCCUCUGUGAACUUGGAUGCUGCAGGCCUGCAGAGAAGGAGUGGUGGGUUCGAGUCUUAUCAGCUGCCCAAGCCUCGGGGCCUGUAGGCGCUGAAGGGAGCCAGGAGCUGGGGCUCUGCUGGGCCCUUGGCACAUGCAGAGCUGAUGGGGAAGGGCUCACCUCCCCCUCCUCCCCAACCAAACCUUGGGGAGCCCAACACAUCCUCUCCUUGAUUACUGGUGCUGGGUCCCCACCCUGAGCUCAAUAGGCAGGACGCAGGGAUUUCUUGCAUAGGUCCUGCCCCCGAAGCCCCCAGCCCCUCCCAUGUCCCAUGUGGGGGUGGGGGCAUGGAGAGGGAGGGGGCCCCCUGGAGGUAGACAUCUCCAGCCAAUAAAGGCCCCCAGUCUAAUGUCCCCUUGGUGUGU
rnacentral:lncRNA from 1 species